rnacentral:rRNA from 1 species
GACGUAGGAUGCGAGCGUUGUCCGGAAUCAUUGGGCGUAAAGAGUUCGUAGGCGGUAUAUCAAGUCUGGUGUUAAAGUCCGGAACUCAACUUCGGGAAGGCACUGGAAACUGAUAAACUAGAGUGCAGUAGAGGCAAGGGGAAUUCCUAGUGUAGCGGUGAAAUGCGUAGAUAUUAGGAGGAACACCGGUGGCGUAAGCGCCUUGCUGGGCUGUUACUGACGCUGAGGAACGAAAGCCAGGGGAGCGAAUGGG